GAGAGGUGUGCUUCCUGAAGCUGCAGCAAGUGUGUGUUUUUUGUGUUGGUUGCUUUAAAAGCGUCGCCUCUGUUUGCGCUGCGACAGAUCCAGAACACACUCCACAUGUCUGCAGAACAUGAAGACAACAGCAGGAGAAGAUGAUCUGCAGGAUCCUGCUGCUCCUCAUCCUCACCUCAUGUGUCUCUGGAUCAUUUGUAGUCAAUGUGACACAGACCUCCUAUCAGGCAGAGGAGAACCACAACAUCACACUGGAGUGGACGUUCACCACCAACCCUGACAGAUCCAUCACUUCACUGAAC